AGCUGAGAAUCUCUCCUGGAGGGACUUUCCCAGACUGUCCUCUCUCACCACUCUUCCUGAGCAGCUAACAACAUCAACCAAGAGCCACCACCGCAAAGUCAGUGACACUGGAGCCACAUACGGAAGCAGCCUCCUGAAAGAGCUGCAUGACAAGUAGAGUCUCAAGUAGCAGCCUUCCCAGGAGCUCCCACCUCCACAUGAUGUCAGACUUCAUGUGACCCAACUACUAAGCUUCUAGAAACAUUACACCAUCGGGAUGUGCUCCCUUCUGUUGUACAACUGGCUGUUAACAGGUUGCUGCCUCUGUGACUGUGACCUGGAUCAGGGCAGCUCUGUACAGCUCUGCAGUCAGGUAGUCAGCAGACUCACCUGAGUAUCCUCCUGCACCCCAAUGGCCCCAUCCUCAGGGUCAAACCAUAAAACACAUUAAACAUGCGCACAGUGUUCUGUGCUGGAAGAUCAGGAAAGAA